rnacentral:tRNA from 1 species
UACCUGGUGGUCCAGUGGUUAAGAAUCUGCCUUGCAAUGCAGAGGACACAGGUUCGAUUCCUGAUCAGGGAA